CCUACGGGUGGCAGCAGUGAGGAAUAUUGGUCAAUGGCCGGAAGUCUGAACCAGCCAUGCCGCGUGAAGGUCAGUGCCCUAUGGGCGUUAAACUUCUUUUGUUCGGGAGCAAUAAUGGUCACGUGUGGCCAGACGAGAGUACCGUACGAAUAAGCAUCGGCUAACUCCGUUCCAGCAGCCGCGGUAAUCCGGGGGAUGCAAGCGUUAUCCGGAUUUAUUGGGUUUAAAGGGAGCGUAGAUGGGUUGUUAAGUCAGUUGUGAAAGUUUGCGGCUCAACCGUAAAAUUGCAAUUGAUACUGGCAGCCUUGAGUACAGUUGAGGUAGGCGGAAUUCGUGGUGUAGCGGUGAAAUGCUUAGAUAUCACGAAGAACUCCGAUUGCGAAGGCAGCCUACUAAACGGCAACUGACAUUGAUGCUCGAAAGUGUGGGUAUCAAACAGGAUUAGAUACCCUAGUAGUC
rnacentral:rRNA from 1 species